ACGAUAACGGCGUCGAGCGGCGGACGGGUGAGUAAUGCCUAGGAAAUUGCCCUGAUGUGGGGGAUAACCAUUGGAAACGAUGGCUAAUACCGCAUGAUGCCUACGGGCCAAAGAGGGGGACCUUCGGGCCUCUCGCGUCAGGAUAUGCCUAGGUGGGAUUAGCUAGUUGGUGAGGUAAGGGCUCACCAAGGCGACGAUCCCUAGCUGGUCUGAGAGGAUGAUCAGCCACACUGGAACUGAG
rnacentral:rRNA from 1 species